GAAAAAACAACUUUUUGUAAGAGGGUUAUUUCCGUAUUAAAUCAAAUGAAUCAAUUAAUACUGUUUUAGGGUUUUGAUAUAAAUUACACGAUAUAAAAGCAUUUAUUUUUUUUUAUUUUUCCAACUCUUAAAAAAACUUUAUUUAUUGCGCUUUGGUAAAGUUUGACAGCUUAAAAGUCCAAGAAAUUUUUCACGUCAAUUUUCCCAACCACUUAUUUUUCUAGCAUAGUGUCACACGUUAUGCAAUGAUUUCUUUUCUCAAUGGCUUUCACUCUGCAUACUUAUAAAAUCAAUAGAAAUAUUUACCAUCUCAUUUCAAAAAGAAUGUUUUAAUAAUUUAGUUUUAUGAAAAAUGUAUGGAAAUAAAAUCUAUUUUAAGCGUAUACUAACGG